GCACUGGUUGUUUAGUAGUGGAACUCUCACCUUCCAGGUGGGAGACCCGGGUUUGAUUCCUGGCCAGUGCA
rnacentral:tRNA from 1 species